CUGAAUUAAGGGACAUUGGGAAUUUCUGUCCUAUUUUCAUGCCCAGAAAAGGAAGUGGCUAGAAGUGUAUCUAAGCCUGGGUUCUGAUGUCUAAGGGAGACUUGACCAUGUUCUCAUAUCACUUCCCCUGGGUUCUCCUGAGACUGUGAUGUCUCUAAGGCCCAAAUAAAGGGUCAAUGAGAAGGAACAUCAGAAACACUCCCUGCCACUCUGGGGCUAUAAGAAGCGGGCUGCUUUUGUAGCAGGAAGGAAUAGUAUUAGAUGCCAGGAGGAUCUGUGUGAAUGGAAGAUCUCCCCGGAGGUACUCAGGGCCUCCUGAAAUGAUACAGAGGCAGCCACGGAAGGUAGAACAACCUCCCUCUGGAUGCCAGAAUUCCAGCACCCCACUCAUCAGCAGUGUAUGCAAAGUAGAUGCAGG
rnacentral:lncRNA from 10 species